UCUGGUGGUGCUCCUACAGCUUUCCACCAGAUGGCGCCAGAGGUGGCUCCUCCUGGCGGGGCGUGCCGGUAUCAGGCGCACCUGAACCACAUCUUCUCAUCAUCUCGGGAGUUCAAGAGGAGCUGACUGCCGUUUCUCCGACGCCUGAGUGUUUGCCAACAAUGGUGUUUUCAGCCAGACGCUGAGUUUCCUCCGUGAGAGGUUUUUUCUCCCCUGGUUUUCCCUGUACCUACCUUCUCGUGACGCCGUGGAAGUUACCCACUGGUUGCCCGAGCUCCUUCCCUGUUUUCCUCAAGUGGACCAAGCCGUUUUCCUGAGGAAUCCUGACGUGCAGUCGAACCGCUCCUCUGUCUCCCACCGCCUGAACUUACCUGUCCGCCCUCCACCACAGCCUCUUCCGCGCCAGCUCACCCGAGCUACGGUCAAAGAAGAACCCCGUCCGAUCGGAACCCAACCCGGCAGAUUUCCCUCCCCAAUCUGAACCGCCAACUCCACAAUGAGCCGCCUUUUUCCAGAGCUGCCUCCAGAGUGCCGUGUCCUUUCAAGACAACCCUUAUCUGAAUCUGCAAUAAAUAUUAUUACUGAUCUUUUGUCUACUCUGUGGUGUUCUGCAUGUGGGCAAAAAGAGUUGAUU